rnacentral:lncRNA from 1 species
AUGCAGAUGGCCUUCUUCAAAAUCUGGCUUUCUUUCAAUGCAUGUCAGCACAGCUAUAUAUCUUUCUGAGCUACUGUGACAAGAACUGAGAAUAGAUGGAUGGCUGUUUUACUGCAGGUUUUGAUAGCAGUUUUGAGAGAUUAGGGCUGUUUUGGAAAGACAAGUUUCAGAGUCUGCUUUCUGAAGGUGCUUGAGAUUAGCAAGUAACUUUAGCAACUCUGAUAUCUCCUUCAGAGACGAUUGAAGGUUGAAGGAAAAUCAGUCAUGAAAGAGAAUUUAACUAAGUUUCUUAUCCCCUCAUGUUUGUUUAGGGAGGGCAUUUUCAGAGGACUGGCAGAGCCAACUUCAUAGGAUGCAUUUCAACAAUGAGAAAGGGCUGUGAUCAAAGGGAAUUAAUAUACUCUUAAACGUGAAACAUCUACACUGACAUAGCAUGUGGCCUCUUGCAUUGGCUGGAAAGAAAUGGAAUCAGCAGCCAACAAAGCAGGGAGAAGAGCUGAAGAUCUUACUGAAGAACUUACCAAAGAUCUUAAACUGAACAUUAAUGAUUUCUUAAUGGACAAAGACUGUUGAAGCUCUGGGACAGUGGUCACAAUAUUACCUACCCUGCUAGAAAAAUGAAGGUUUAUAAUGCUACCAGGGGGAAGAGCAGA